GAUGAAGAACGUAGCGAAAUGCGAUAAGUAGUGUGAAUUGCAGAAUUCAGUGAAUCAUCGAAUCUUUGAACGCACAUUGCGCCCCUUGGUAUUCCAUGGGGCAUGCCUGUUCGAGCGUCAUUUGUACCUUCAAGCUUUGCUUGGUGUUGGGUGUUUGUCCAUUCUCUUGCAGAGGGACUCGCCUUAAAGUAAUUGGCAGCCAGUGUUUUGGUUUUGAAGCGCAGCACAAGUCGCGAUUCAACGCUAUACGCCAGCUUCCACAAGCCUUUUUCACUUUUGACCUCGGAUCAGGUAGGGAUACCCGCUGAACUUAAGCAUAUCAAUAAGCGGAGG
rnacentral:misc_RNA from 1 species